GCUCUCCCUGAUGACACCUGGACUCCGGUGGUUAUUCCACAGUGAAAGACUGCGCAUUUACCCAACUUCACCACAGCAGGCAUGUUACCCGAGACUACAGGACGAGCCUGUGAUUGACACCUGACUCAGCCAAUCAGAAGUCUUCGUCUGGUAGAUCUCAGCCCACUGUGAUAAUUGGAAGCAAGAGGUGGGACGCGGAGAUGGAGGCAAAUACCACAAGUAUUAAAAGAUAACGUGUC